UGGGGAAUAUUGGACAAUGGGCGCAAGCCUGAUCCAGCCAUGCCGCGUGAGUGACGAAGGCCUUAGGGUUGUAAAGCUCUUUUGGCGGGGACGAUAGUGACGGUACCCGCAGAAUAAGCUCCGGCUAACUUCGUGCCAGCAGCCGCGGUAAUACGAAGGGAGCUAGCGUUGUUCGGAAUCACUGGGCGUAAAGCGCACGUAGGCGGAUUAUUAAGUCAGGGGUGAAAUCCCGGGGCUCAACCUCGGAACUGCCUCUGAUACUGAUAGUCUCGAGUCCGGAAGAGGUGGGUGGAAUUCCUAGUGUAGAGGUGAAAUUCGUAGAUAUUAGGAAGAACACCGGUGGCGAAGGCGGCCCACUGGUCCGGUACUGACGCUGAGGUGCGAAAGCGUGGGGAGCAAACAGGAUUAGAUACCCACGUAGUCCCUGAGCGGGCUGGCAAGGCGCAU
rnacentral:rRNA from 1 species